rnacentral:lncRNA from 1 species
UUUUUCCCACACUAAAGCAGCCUUUAAGCGGUAAUACUGUGAUGUAUGAAUCAAGACCUGGGAAAUCCCAACAAGUUUCUUUAACUUCUAAAUUGAGAAAACCCUCUGCAUUGUGUUACUUCAGCUUCUGGUGCAUUUUUAUCUCAUUAAUUACUGUCGUUGAUGGUGCCAAAAAAUUGAUAAACCCAGAUCUAUAAACAUUGUGUAAAAUUGGUCCUUAUAUGGAACACUUAAAGGAAAGUAUUUAUUCGUUGGCCUAGUUCACCAAUAAGGUUUGUAUCCAGGAUUCUUGCAGACACACACAACUUCAUAUCUUUUUACGUACAGCUUCAUGUUGUUUUUGAGAAUGUGAUAUUUGAUAAUGCAACUUGUAUUAUUGCAAUGAUAAAGAUAGAGAAUUGCUCCAAGCCUUUCUUUUUUGCAAUGCAAGAAACAAAACCUAGAUAUGUCUUAGCAAGUGAAAUCAUAAUAUCAUUUUGUCUUUGCACUCUAUGCCAUGAAUGUAGAUUUUACUAUAUCAUUUUUUCAAACAAAAUCCUGAGAAGAGUGUGAUAAUUACAUUCUCAACCAGAAAAGUGUAAAAUUGUUGACUUCAGGGAAGAUUUUAAAAUCUAUUGGUGCUGACAAUCAUUGAAUAGUUUUAUUUUUUGAGGCUGUUUGAUUUAACCAGGAUAGUGAUUUUACGUGGUAUUUUGAGAUGAUUAGUUGACUGACUAAAGCAUUUCAGCUUUCUCUUUCAAUGUCAAUGGUUAGAUGGAGUAAGCAUGUUGCUCGGUUUACUUCGCUAUCUAGGAUUGCUUCUUCUACUCAUUUAUCCUUGAAUUGCAUUUAUGAAUUGUUGUACACCUCUCAACGUAUUUCUAACCAUACUGUAUUAAAUUGGAGUUCUGUUUUGUUCUAGCUGAGAUCUAGUCGACAUUUCUGUAUUGACAUCAUUUCGCUGUGUAUUAUUCUGGGAAUCGCUGCUUAUUUGUGCAAGUCAGUUCUAAGUUUUUUCUUAUUCACGUGAAGACCUUCAAUGAACCUCAGAAACUCCUUGUUGUUAACGUCAAAAACUUUAUAACACAGUUUGUACAACACAAAGUGAUUAAUGAACUACAACUCUGAAUAUUAAAUAUAUCUCAGUUACAUUUAAUGGUUUUGAACUCGAAUGCGACAUUAUUUUUUUCUUGGGAAUUUGGCUUGUUGAGAUCUGUUAUAAUGCUUAAAUAGAUGUAAGCUGAUAAACUGUUCUUUGCAGUGUGUUGAAGAAAUAGAAGUGGUAGGUAGAGUGUCGGAUAGGGAGAGUGUCGGGUGUGACUGUAUGGAGUUUUUGGUAUUGUUUCCACUGAGUGAGUUGUAUCCAUGUAUAUUUUUUUUAUAAUUAGUUUGAUUUUCAUGUUGGCAUAACUUGUUUAAUUUAUUACUUUAGGCUAAAGACUUCUGAUCAGUCAGUCAAUAUAGUUGCCAUAAUUUUCUUGGGAGUACAUUAGCUCUUAUCAUAUGAUCUUUGAACAUUCUUGGGAAAGUUGUUUCAAUUUAAUAAUUUUAAUUAGAUGUGGUGUAAUCUCAUAAUGUUCAGAAAAAAAAUUGAAAGAUUAUGUUUGUUCUUUUGAUCAGGUUCCUAUUAUAUACAAUGUGCAUCAUAAGAGGAUGAUAUUGCCAAUCGAAAUGGCACAGGAGCCUGUGCAUGUGAAUGCCAAGCAGUACCAUGGGAAUCUUUGUACAAGGCAAUCGCGUUCUAAAGUAGAGCUUGAAAAGAAAUUGAUAAAAGUUCAAAAGGUAGGUAAUGCAAAUAUUUUUGUUUCCCUAAUAGGUUGUUGCCCACAUAAAAUUCUUAAGCAACAAAGAUAAGAGCAUACUUGGCUAAGUUUAAAAGUUCACCUAUAAGUUAUAAGUGAAUAAUUAUGUUUUAAAAUAAAUAAUUUUUUUAUUUGUCAAAUCUGGAAAUAAGUAAUUUAUUUUGACAAUAAACUGAGAGUAACAUUUGAACUUUUAACUUAAAGUAAGCAAAAAUUAACAUAUGUGAGCAUGUAUGAUGAUUCAUGAUCCUGGAGUUCUUUCUGUAGGGUUCCAUCUCUGUAUCGUUGGUAAUUGUUUUUCUUUUGUUGACUUUCAGCCUUAUCUUCAUGAGUCUCGAUACCAGCAUGCUUCAAGGAAAGCAAGAGGUUCCGGAGGAUGUUUUGCAAAGACGUCUGAUGCAGACACCUCAAAGGAGACGCGUUCUGAUUCUGCCAUCUCAACACAGUCCUAUGCUUU